rnacentral:rRNA from 1 species
UACGAAGGGUGCAAGCGUUAAUCGGAAUUACUGGGCGUAAAGCGCGCGUAGGUGGUCUUGUAAGUUGAAGGUGAAAUCCCCGGGCUCAACCUGGGAACUGCCUCCAAAACUGCAGGACUCGAGUACGGUAGAGGGUGGUGGAAUUUCCUGUGUAGCGGUGAAAUGCGUAGAUAUAGGAAGGAACACCAGUGGCGAAGGCGACCACCUGGACUGAUACUGACACUGAGGUGCGAAAGCGUGGGGAGCAAACAGG